UACGUAGGGGGCAAGCGUUGUCCGGAUUUAUUGGGCGUAAAGAGCUCGUAGGUGGUUCGGUAAGUCGGAUGUGAAAUCUCCAGGCUCAACCUGGAGGGUCAUUCGAUACUGCCGUGACUAGAGUUCGGUAGGGGAGUGUGGAAUUCCUGGUGGAGCGGUGAAAUGCGCAGAUAUCAGGAGGAACACCCGUAGCGAAGGCGGCACUCUGGGCCGAUACUGACGCUGAGG
rnacentral:rRNA from 1 species